AUGAACUGAAAAUAUCUAAGUGACAAGCUGAGCCAAUGCAAGCUAUGUUCUCCCUAGACAUUAUGACUCUCUGGAUGACCUUGUUUUCACAAUGCCCUGGUAACAGAAGAUGACUGUACCCUUCCCAAAACUCUUGCACUUUGAAUAAAAGGAACCACAUCAACAGAGCUCCAGUUACAAGUGUGGAUACCUGCUAAUCAACGAACAGAGGUAGAAAAUCUUUUAUCAUUACCUGCCAUCAAGUGGGUUCUUUUACCG